UACAGAGGUCUCAAGCGUUGUUCGGAUUCAUUGGGCGUAAAAGGGUGCGUAGGUGGCGCUGUAAGUCGGGUGUGAAAUUUCGGAGCUUAACUCCGAAACUGCAUUCGAUACUGGCGUGCUUGAGGACUGGAGAGGAGACUGGAAUUUACGGUGUAGCAGUGAAAUGCGUAGAUAUCGUAAGGAAGACCAGUGGCGAAGGCGGGUCUCUGGACAGUUCCUGACACUGAGACACGAAGGCCAGGGGAGCAAACGGG
rnacentral:rRNA from 1 species